GACGAACGCUGGCGGCGUGCUUAACACAUGCCAGUCGAACGGAAAGGCCCUGCUUGCAGGGUGCUCGAGUGGCGAACGGGUGAGUAACACGUGGGUGAUCUGCCCCUUACUUUGGGUUAAGCCUGGGAAACUGGGUCUAUUACUGGAUAGGACCAUGCUGUAGGUGGUGUGGUGGAAAGAUUAGUUUCGGUAAGGGAUGAGCUCGCGGCCUAUCAGCUUUUUGGUGGGGUAAUGGUCUACCAAGGCGUCGACGGGUAGCCGGCAUGAGAGUGUGGAGGGCAAGACUGGGACUGAGAGAGGGGCCAGAGUCGGACGGGAGGCAGAAGGGGGGAAUGUGGGACAAUGGGAGGAAGCGUGAGGGAGGGAGGCCGCGGGAGGGAUGAGGGCCUUAGGGUGGGAAACACCGUUGAGACAUGAGAAAGCGCUUGUGGGAACGGUAGUGGUAGAAAAAGCACGGGCUAACUAGGG
rnacentral:rRNA from 1 species